rfam:Myotis lucifugus cont2.44186, whole genome shotgun sequence.
GAGACACCCUUAUGGGGCAGGACUUGCUUCAGUGUGGCUUUGGCUCUCACUGAGUCUGCCUCCUGAGUGUGUCUCU